ensembl:ncRNA asRNA:CR44368 antisense RNA:CR44368
UUAAGCCCCCCCGACCAUCCUGAUUCAGCCACAUACACAUUGCUAUAUAUAACAGGUUGCUAUUUAUAAGCAUCCCGAAAUAUUCCACUGCAUCUCUAGGCUAAUCUCAAUGGUUACGCAGUCAACUAGCAGAAGGUUACAUGGGCGUUUCGGCGAAGGACAUGCGAUGACGUCGCCAGGAUAUUCCACACUCACCCACGAAAAUAUUGACCCGGAUUGUCACAUCGUGGGACUUAACAAUUGUAUGCGAGGAUUUACAGUAAUCUAGUUGGCUCCAUGAGGACUGGACUCUUCAGUUUCUGCGCUGGGAGAAAACAUAACGAUCUCGCAAAUGGAGCAACUUUUCAAAAAACACAAAUGUCAAGGUGGUGUGUGGAGCACUACGAAAGUAUAUGGGCCAAAAGCCCUUGUACAUCCCAUGGAUCCCUUCGGUUCUCCAGAUUUUAGUGAAACAGUCCACCAAGCCCUUGUACAUGAGUCCACGCCCCUUUUCAUCCACUGGCUGGUUGUACAUCCGUGUGGUGAGCACAUCAAAGGGCGAAUUGGCCACUGCCACAAGGGUUCCCGACGAUAGGCCGGCACAGAAGGAGAGGAGAACCGGAUGGGUGAUCCAGCCUUUAUCCUUCAGAAGGGACUUGGCUUUGGGAAAGGUGCCGAUCUGUACACUGGAGGCCACAAGCGUUCGGUUCAAGCUUGGUAAAGCAGCGCGCCAGAAUCCUGAAAUGCCAUUGGUCCGGUAAAUAUGCAGCAGGGCAUCCAUCAUCGAAGUAUGCUUGUGCUGAAAGCCUACGGCAAUGGACUGAACCGCCUGGGCAUGCUGUUGGGCCUUUAUCUGUAAUGGAGGGAGAUCAGAUGGGAAGCUCUAGCGGAUCUACUCACCAUGUAGAAGGGGCUGGCGAAAUAGGUGCCCGUGCAGCCGCCCAGAGCUCCAAAGAACAUGCCCCGAUAGAAGGAUAUGGAGCCAUCCGCAUUCUGCAAGUAUCCCAGCUCCAAUGCGUUCGAAUAUACACUUAGCCUACCAUAAGGAAAGGGUAUUUACACUGCAAUUUGCUUAGGGUAACUAUUUUCAAUGAUGAACGUAACGACUUAUCUUAAAUGUCCAUUACUUCACAGUGUUAGAUAAGAUAAGCAUGCAUUUCACAUUAAUUCAUGGUGCUUGUAAUUACACUACUUAGCAUUGCAUAAUUUUACGGCCACUUUUAUAUAAACUUUGUUUAAAUCUACCUCUAAUAUUCGUAUAAAGUUCAAAGAUUUUGAUGUUUAUGGAUGGCAACAAGUGUCCUUUACAAUGCACUUGCCUGACCGAGUUGAGGACAAAUUGAUAACAUAAUGCCGGAGCGAGACCCUUCUCCAAAGCAAGGAGUCCGUCGUUGAGGACUAUCUGCAGCAUGGCCUGGGGGAGAUGCCUGUAGGGCUUCACAUAGGUUCCUCGGGCAGCCAACUCUCCCUGCAGCUGCAUCCGCGUCUUGACCACAUCGAUGGGAUUGGUGAACACCACCGCACCCAUCGCUGCCGUUCCGCCCAGCACGAAAUCCGACUUGGUCAUGUUUUCACCCCA